UGCCAGACUCCUACGGGAGGCAGCAGUGGGGGAUAUUGCACAAUGGGGAGAACCCUGAUGCAGCGACGCCGCGUGGGUGAAGGAGCGUUUCGGCGCGUAAAGCCCUAUCGGCAGGGAAGAAGGAGGACGGUACCUGACUAAGAAGCCCCGGCUAACUACGUGCCAGCAGCCGCGGUAAUACGUAGGGGGCAAGCGUUAUCCGGAUUUACUGGGUGUAAAGGGGGCGCAGACGGCAGCGCAAGCCAGGAGUGAAAGCCCGGGGCCCAACCCCGGGACUGCUCUUGGAACUGCGCGGCUGGAGUGCAGGAGGGGCAGGCGGAAUUCCUGGUGUAGCGGUGAAAUGCGUAGAUAUCAGGAGGAACACCGGUGGCGAAGGCGGCCUGCUGGACUGCGACUGACGUUGAGGCCCGAAAGCGUGGGGAGCAAACAGGAUUAGAUACCCUUGUAG
rnacentral:rRNA from 1 species